rnacentral:rRNA from 1 species
GCCUAACACAUGCAAGUCGAGCGGAAACGAGUUAUCUGAACCUUCGGGGAACGAUAACGGCGUCGAGCGGCGGACGGGUGAGUAAUGCCUAGGAAAUUGCCCUGAUGUGGGGGAUAACCAUUGGAAACGAUGGCUAAUACCGCAUGAUGCCUACGGGCCAAAGAGGGGGACCUUCGGGCCUCUCGCGUCAGGAUAUGCCUAGGUGGGAUUAGCUAGUUGGUGAGGUAAGGGCUCACCAAGGCGACGAUCCCUAGCUGGUCUGAGAGGAUGAUCAGCCACACUGGAACUGAGACACGGUCCAGACUCCUACGGGAGGCAGCAGUGGGGAAUAUUGCACAAUGGGCGCAAGCCUGAUGCAGCCAUGCCGCGUGUGUGAAGAAGGCCUUCGGGUUGUAAAGCACUUUCAGUCGUGAGGAAGGUAGUGUAGUUAAUAGCUGCAUUAUUUGACGUUAGCUGACAGAAGAAGCACCGGCUAACUCCGUGCCAGCAGCCGCGGUAAUACGGAGGGUGCGAGCGUUAAUCGGAAUUACUGGGCGUAAAGCGCAUGCAGGUGGUUUGUUAAGUCAGAUGUGAAAGCCCGGGGCUCAACCUCGGAAUAGCAUUUGAAACUGGCAGACUAGAGUACUGUAGAGGGGGGUAGAAUUUC